GUGAGGAAUAUUGGUCAAUGGACGAGAGUCUGAACCAGCCAAGUCGCGUGAAGGAAGACGGUUCUAUGAAUUGUAAACUUCUUUUGUGCAGGAAUAAAGUGGGUUACGUGUAACCUUUUGUAUGUACUGUACGAAUAAGGAUCGGCUAACUCCGUGCCAGCAGCCGCGGUAAUACGGAGGAUCCGAGCGUUAUCCGGAUUUAUCGGGUUUAAAGGGUGCGUAGGUGGAUUGAUAAGUCAGCGGUGAAAGUUUGCAGCUUAACUGUAAAAUUGCCGUUGAAACUGUCGGUCUUGAGUGCAAAUGAGGUAGGCGGAAUGUGUUGUGUAGCGGUGAAAUGCUUAGAUAUAACACAGAACUCCGAUUGCGAAGGCAGCUUACUGGGAUGCAACUGACACUGAUGCACGAAAGCGUGGGUAUCAAACAGGAUUAGAUACCCCUGUAGUCC
rnacentral:rRNA from 1 species